UAACUCCAUGCCCCAAUAUCUAACUGCAUCUUCAGUAUCUCCACUUGAAUGUAUAAUAGAUAUUUUAAACUUACUGUCCUCAUCUGAACAUCUGAUUGCCCCACUCAGUCCUGUUAUACAUGGGCCUUCUCCAUCCCUACUGGUCAUAUUUUGAUCCCAGCUGCUGUCUUAUCUUUGUCUUCUCUCAUUUUCUAGCACCUCACAACCAGUCAAUAAAUCCCACUGGAACUAUCUUUAAAACAUCCAAAAUUAGACCACUUCUUACACCUCCACUACUAUCACCUCAGUCCAACCCUCCUAAGAGGUCUCCUUCAUCUGCCUUUUUUUCUUUUUCAUUGUCAGUUUUUAACACAGCAGCCUGGCAGAUCCUUUAGAAUAUCUAUGUCAGAUCAUGUCACCAUCUUCUCAAAACCCUUCAAGGGCUCUUCCAUUUACUCAGAGUAGUGGAGGUGAAUGAAGUGGUAUAAUU